AUACGUAGGGUGCGAGCGUUGUCCGGAAUUACUGGGCGUAAAGAGCUCGUAGGUGGUUUGUCGUGUCGUCUGUGAAAUUCCGGGGCUUAACUCCGGGCGUGCAGGCGAUACGGGCAUAACUUGAGUACUGUAGGGGAGACUGGAAUUCCUGGUGUAGCAGUGAAAUGCGCAGAUAUCAGGAGGAACACCGGUGGCGAAGGCGGGUCUCUGGGCAGUAACUGACGCUGAGGAGCGAAAGCAUGGGUAGCGAACAGGAUUAGAUACCCUGGUAGUCCAUGCCGUAAACGGUGGGCGCUAGGUGUAGGGGUCUUCCACGACUUCUGUGCCGUAGCUAACGCAUUAAGCGCCCCGCCUGGGGAGUACGGCCGCAAGGCUAAAACUCAAAUGAAUUGACGGGG
rnacentral:rRNA from 1 species